AGAGGUGCACUUAUACUGAUUUUACGAAAAGUGAAAGAAUUAUAUAAUUUAAUCUGUAAUGUCUAUCGGACGAUUCUACAGGAUUUAACCAAAGGCAUGGACAAAUACGUAACACCAUUGAAGGUACAUCAUAUCAAGUGAACUGCAAUCACUAGGAUACGAGGUUGCCGCUGUAGCUUCAAGCAGUAGUGGAUCAUACUUUGAGGUAGUCUUAGUAAAAGGAAUAGAAGAAGUGUUCCAGACAGCUGUAGCAGGAACAAUUCUGCCUAAGAUUCGGGGAUGCGGACCACAGCUAAUUCUAGUUUGUAAACUGAUGUAACGGAGACGAUGGAUGCCAAAUGUGAUGCGCUAUAAUAUAUCUUAAGUAAAUGAAAACCAUACACUAAAAACGGUAUAUAAUUUUAUCAUCAAAGUACAACUUUUAUCAUGUAAAGCCAAAAGAAGUAGAAAUGGAGCAUUCAAUGACUUUAAAUUACCGUACUUUGGAGGCAUGUAGCAAAUGCACUAACCUAUUCGAUGGUUGAAAAGCUUGGCUUUCCUUGGUUGGACUGAAUGUCAGUCCUCAGAGGAUUCAAACUAGUCAUAUAAAAUAUAUAUAUUACUCACAGAAGGUAACCAAAGAAUUUGCAACGAUGCAAAUAUUAAACUGUACAAUAUAAAUAAAUAUCUUUAACCAAUGAAUUCAAAAAGCAAAAGCUAUGUAAUUUAACAAAUAUAUUCUUAACAAGCUUCAUGUAAAUUUAUAACAAUGAAAUACAUCUAAUAUGAAAUUUAGAGUUUUUCCAAAGGGAGCUAACAAUUUAACUAAUAACACUGUCUGCUACAUCCCCCCCUAAGACAAACGAAAAAUGUCAUCAAUAAAGUCUUCAAGUUUAAAGUGUCUUUCAUGAAUAUGCAACAGUAAACACGCAAAUAUGCAAAUGUGAUACAAAUAAAUAUCUGGCUGCAACAAUAACCACAUAAAUAUGCACAUGUCAUACAAAUAAAUAUCUGGCUGCAACAAUCAACACGCAAAAUGACUAACACAAAAUUGUGUAACUUGCACUGGAAACUUUUAACGGUUAACUUGUAAAUCAUUAUAUCAAACUUGUAAACGGUUAAUUUGGAAAUCGUAAUAUCAAAAAAUCAAAAUUAUAUCAAAAGUACAGUUAA